AGUGAACGCUGGCGGUAGGCCUAACACAUGCAAGUCGAACGGCAGCACAGUAAGAGCUUGCUCUUACGGGUGGCGAGUGGCGGACGGGUGAGGAAUACAUCGGAAUCUACUUUUUCGUGGGGGAUAACGUAGGGAAACUUACGCUAAUACCGCAUACGACCUACGGGUGAAAGCAGGGGAUCUUCGGACCUUGCGCGAUUGAAUGAGCCGAUGUCGGAUUAGCUAGUUGGCGGGGUAAAGGCCCACCAAGGCGACGAUCCGUAGCUGGUCUGUGAGGAUGAUCAGCCACACUGGAACUGAGACACGGUCCAGACUCCUACGGGAGGCAGCAGUGGGGAAUAUUGGACAAUGGGCGCAAGCCUGAUCCAGCCAUACCGCGUGGGUGAAGAAGGCCUUCGGGUUGUAAAGCCCUUUUGUUGGGAAAGAAAAGCAGCAGGUUAAUACCCCGCUGUUCUGACGGUACCCAAAGAAUAAGCACCGGCUAACUUCGU
rnacentral:rRNA from 1 species